CAGCCAUAUAACGUAGAAAUACCGGUUCUCGUACGGUCGCCGAAGUUAAGCAAUCUUGAGCCUGGUCAUUGCCUAGAUGGGGGACCGGUUGGGAAUACCAGGUGCUC